GCUCCGUUGGCUUAGUGGUUAGAGGGUCUGCCUCAAAUGCGGGAGGUCGUGAGUUCUAAUUUUAUAAUUUUUAACGUAGCU